GGGAACUCACACAAAGGAAAUCCCUUCUGGUUGUUUUCUUGCAUUGUAGAUGCUGUGGAAGGGCUUCCAAGGUCGGUGUCUAUCCACAAAAGUUCCCCAACACCAUAGCUGUGGGUUACUUUCCCAGCACACAGCACUUUUCCGGAGUUGAGAUGUGACACUGUGCAUCAACCUGGAAGCCACCAGACUUCAACUGGACAGCUUCAAACAUCCCCUCAGCAGCUCUGCCCUCUGUGAGUAUGUCUGCUGGGUUACACCUUCUGUAGCCACGGCUUUUACCAGCUGCAGGACUUGGUUGUCAGGGACUUCACUGCUAACAACAUUUUUGAAGGACCAACUGCCACAAUGGAUCUGCACGAAGCCAUUCAGGACAAGCAGAGAGGUAGGAAGUCCUUUUUCGUUUUUUGGGUGGAACAGCAAGGCCUCUCCAGUUUUCAGCUGGUUCUUCUUCUGUACAACCAACUUUAAUGGCAGCAUCAGACUCCUCACAAAGGUAAGCAUCUCUUUUUAUUUUUCUUUCUACACUUUGUAUAGUUGUGGGUGCUGGUUGGGCUGCUGUUUCACUCACUGUUUCCCAAGUUGCAUCCUCCUCUCCAGUGUGUUCUGCAGCACAAAUCCGCAUGUUGCCUUCAAUGAAGGAAAGAUGGCAAGCGAUGGAUUGAUCCACCCUAAUGGGUAAUUUUUAAUGCUUGAAAAGGCCGUGCUUGAUAUUUUUGAAUUCUGCUUCUACCUCGGCUGAGCUUGAGGUGACAUCAGUGGUUUGGAAGAAAGGGACCAUCACUCCUGUCCACAGUGGUAUUUCUUGCAUAUCUCUGAUGUGAGAGGGACUCCAGAGUUAUCAUUGCCUUCUGCCUCGCUGAGUGCCACAACAGUGAUGGCAU